GCGACUGCGCAAAAAUGUCUUUAGGGCCUCAGCGUGGAGGCGCGCACCAGCUUUUGCUGUCCUUCAUCUGGGUCCUUUUCAUGCCUCUCAGUGAGUCAAUUAAGUAUUCUGAAGAUGUGCUAUGCUGAAUGAAGAACUAUGCCAGCGCAGGGAUUACCAGGAUGUGCCGCCACGUUUGCUUCCUGCGGUGCUGGGACUGAACACAUCACCUCCUCCUUUCUAGGCACGCACCCUACCAAGAGAGCUGCAGCCCAGCCCUCCGCGUUGCUUUUUUAAAAUGCUCAUCCAGGGUAAGAACUGCUGCCUUAGAGUCACGUGAGCCAAGUGUGCUCCAAGGGCAACAGCAGGCACAACCUUCUGGAGCUGCUGAAUACCAGACUUUCAUACCUGCUUUCAGAACUGGUGAACCACACUGUCCUGGGCUAAGGCAUGUGGCUUAGGGGUGUCAUACUUAGUUUUAGUUGUCAGCUUGUACAGCCCAACGUCACUGGAGGAGCACCAUCUAGUUCGUGCUUGAGUUUCCCCCUGACUUCUCUCAACAAUGGACUGUGGCCUACAAGUGAAAAGCAAAUAAAUCCGUUCCUUCCCUAAA